GUGCCAGCCGCCGCGGUAAUACGGAGGGGGCUAGCGUUGUUCGGAAUCACUGGGCGUAAAGCGCGCGUAGGCGGAUAGUUAAGUCGGGGGUGAAAGCCCGGAGCUCAACUCCGGAACUGCCUCCGAUACUGGCUGUCUUGAGUCCGAGAGAGGUGAGUGGAAUUCCCAGUGUAGAGGUGAAAUUCGUAGAUAUUGGGAAGAACACCAGUGGCGAAGGCGGCUCACUGGCUCGGUACUGACGCUGAGGUGCGAAAGCGUGGGGAGCAAACAGGAUUAGAAACCCGGGUAGUCCCGAAA
rnacentral:rRNA from 1 species